rnacentral:rRNA from 1 species
UACGGAGGAUGCGAGCGUUAUCCGGAUUUAUUGGGUUUAAAGGGUGCGUAGGCGAACGCUUAAGUCAGCGGUAAAAUUGCGGGGCUCAACCUCGUCGAGCCGUUGAAACUGGGUGUCUUGAGUGGGCGAGAAGUACGCGGAAUGCGUGGUGUAGCGGUGAAAUGCACAGAUAUCACGCAGAACUCCGAUUGCGAAGGCAGCGUACCGGCGCCCAACUGACGCUGAAGCACGAAGGCGUGGGUAUCGAACAGG